UACGGGAGGCAGCAGGGAAUCUUCCGCAAUGGACGAAAGUCUGACGGAGCAACGCCGCGUGAACGAUGAAGGCUUUCGGGUCGUAAAGUUCUGUUGUUAGGGAAGAACAAGUACCAGAGUAACUGCUGGUACCUUGACGGUACCUAACCAGAAAGCCACGGCUAACUACGUGCCAGCAGCCGCGGUAAUACGUAGGUGGCAAGCGUUGUCCGGAAUUAUUGGGCGUAAAGCGCGCGCAGGUGGUUCUUUAAGUCUGAUGUGAAGCCCACGGCUCAACCGUGAGGGUCAUUGGAAACUGGGGAACUUGAGUGCAGAAGAGGAAAGUGGAAUUCCACGUGUAGCGGUGAAAUGCGUAGAGAUGUGGAGGAACACCAGGUGGCGAAGGCGACUUUUCUGGUCUGUAACUGACACUGAGGCGCGAAAGCGUGGGGAGCGAACAGGGAUUAGAUACC
rnacentral:rRNA from 1 species